rnacentral:rRNA from 1 species
UACGUAGGGUGCAAGCGUUGUCCGGAUUAUUGGGCGUAAAGAGCUCGUAGGCGGUUUGUCGCGUCGGGAUGUGAAAACCCAGGGCUCAACCCUGGGCCUGCAUUCGAUACGGGCAAACUAGAGUAUGGCAGGGGAGACUGGAAUCCUGGUGUAGCGGUGAAAUGGCGCCAGAUAUCAGGAGGAACACCGGUGGCGAAGGCGGGUCUCUGGGCCAAAACUGACGCUGGAGGAGCGAAAGCGUGGGAGCGAACAGG